rnacentral:tmRNA from 1 species
GGGGGUGCGUGGGUUCGACGGGGGAAGGCCUACAGAAUUGCAAGUUGAGGUGCCAUUUACCUCAUAAAACAAGUGGCAAAAAACAACUGGCGAACCUGUUUUCGCUUAAUGUAGCUUAAUUAAAGCUGCACAUCCAACCUGACUUCUCCUCGGCGGGUUGGGAUUGGGUGUCACAAAGUCGAGGUGCUCCAAUCCUGAUGUUGAUAGGGAUUGGCUAAGAAAAAAUCGGCUGGUCUAGCGGGAUUCGGUCAGCAGAUGAAAGCUAGACAAGAUAAAAGGAGCUGACUAAGCUUGUAGGAUAUUCUAGCAACCUUCUUCUGGACGGGGAGUUCAACUCUCCCCCGCCUCCACCA